UACGUAGGUGGCAAGCGUUGUCCGGAUUUAUUGGGCUUAAAGCGCACGUAGGCGGCUUAGCAAGUCGGAUGUGAAAUCCCUCGGCUCAACCAAGGAAGUGCAUCCGAAACUGCUGAGCUUGAGUACUUAAGAGGAUCGCGGAAUUCCCGGUGUAGAGGUGAAAUUCGUAGAUAUCGGGAGGAACACCAGUGGCGAAGGCGGCGAUCUGGGAAGAUACUGACGCUGAGGUGCGAAAGCGUGGGGAGCAAACAGG
rnacentral:rRNA from 1 species